GGGCACACGGAAUAAGAUUUGGUCUCCAGACUCACCCGGCCCCGGUGAUGCACGGUUCCAGAAUGGACACAGCUGAGAUGACACGCAUGCUGGGGAGUACAUAUUGACGGCAGCCUAAAUGUGACAGUUGUGUUCCUUGGAUGACGUGCGGGGAAAUACAAGUUGUUCUCGCAGCUCCUGGCCAAAUUCACCAAAGAGCUGUGAUAGAGUAAAGAAACAGCAUUGAUGUAUGAUUAAGUGUUUUGAAAUGACGUGUGGGACGGGGCUGGGGUGUAAAAAAUAUAUGGGGCAACUCAAUCUAUCCAAACUGAGCUACAGUAAAUAAACACACAGGUCAUUCGCUGUGCAUUAUGCAUUUAAAUAGAGCGGCAUAGGGGUUGCUAUCAGUGCUUGAGCCCUCUUGUCUGUGUGUUGUGGGCAAAUGUAACGCCCCGCCUCGCUCCGGUACCGCAGCACUUGGUCAAAUAGCACAUCUGUCUUGUUCUUUGUGAUUUCAUUAACUCUAAUAUCUGCACUUCCUAUUACCCCAGCUGCCUCUCAUUCAAAGGCACACAGGCUCGCUUCUCUAAUGCAGAGUGACACGCGAUAUACUUUCACUCACACAUUACGCGUUAGCCCGGAGCAAGGCCGCCCGCUCCUUUGAAAAUGUUGGAAUUAGGUUAUUUCUAUUGAAGUAUUAAAGCAAUUCUUCAGUUUAAGCUAUUAUUUCAUAACUUUUUUCUCUCUUUCCCUUGUUAUGUUUUUUUUUUUUUUUUCGGGCUGCAGUGUGAUUGAGAGGGAAACAGCGAUUAGGGUUCCCAUAACCUCCUUAUUAUCCUCUCUGCCCAAACAGAGCUCUGAGACUGAUGUAUUAUGUGAGGAUGACAUGAUUAUUAGACAACAAUCUGUUUCAUUUCUCUAAUAUCUCAACAACACCGGACCGAAGGCAAGAGAUACUGUGCUGUGAUUUUGUCCUUUUCAUAAUGUAGUAAAGGUGAUGGACAGGUAUUGGUGCACUAACACUUGCAAAUAAAGUGCCAUGGUAUUUUGCCAUAUAUGAAUAUGGUAACGUCUUUUAAACCAUAAUAAUACCAUGGUAUUCUUUGUAGUGUGAUAGAGUAUCAUUUAAAUCAAUAUCAUAGAACCACAGACAAUAAAUGAUUCAGUACAAUGGUAUAAUAUGUAUUACCUUGAGAAAUCGAUCCGUUAACAUUUCCAUUUAACUCAAAGGUGUUUGCUUGAUUGCCACAGGCUUUUAAGAGCCCUCUAAUAAUAUGUGUGAGUAUAUUGUGUGUAUGUGUGUGUGUGUAUUAAAAAUUAAAAAUAUAAAAUACUU